AGAGAUGAUGUGUCUAAAAUGAGGACCUAGGCUGGAUGCUUUAGUAUUACCAGUGAUGAUACUUAGUAUCCCAGCAAAACAGCUCUCAGACUCUGAGGAUUAAGGUUGCUUACCUUAGAAAAAAUCACCUGCCAUUCAUGAGGGAGUCCUCUAGAGAGGCAAGCCAGUAGCUGUGUAAGCAAGAAGGUCUCCCAGUUGUGCCUUCAGAUGAAACUGCAGUCAGAACCAGCAGUGACCCUGAGUGAAUGACCUCAUGAGUGACCCUGAGCCUUGAAUCCUCAGAGGUCUGAACUAAUGAAGACACCCAAGCCAGUAGCAUUUCUAGCACUCCUUGAAAACUGAGACUUCACAUGCAAAAAAUACUACUCAAUUUGGACAAAGUUAAGACAUUAUUUAUGCUCUCCAAAGAGUCAAUUUUGGGGUUCAUCUCCAGUAAUGCCUUUUGGUCUUUGGAAUGGUAAAUAAAUCCACUGCCAUCCUGUA